ACGCUCGACACCUACGGGAAGCAGCAGUGGGGAAUAUUGCACAAUGGGGGAAACCCUGAUGCAGCGACGCCGCGUGGAGGAAGAAGGUCUUCGGAUUGUAAACUCCUGUUGUUGGGGAAAAAGAGGAUGGUACCCAACAAGGAAGUGACGGCUAACUACGUGCUAGCAGCCGCGGUAAUCUGAGCGGGCUGGCAAGGC
rnacentral:rRNA from 1 species